rnacentral:rRNA from 1 species
GAUGAACGCUGGCGGCGUGCCUAAUACAUGCCAGUCGAGCGAACAGACGAGGAGCUUUCUCCUCUGACGUUAGCGGCGGACGGGUGAGUAACACGUUGAUAACCUACCUAUAAGACUGGGAUAACUUCGGGAAACCGGAGCUAAUAACGGAUAAUAUAUUGAACCGCAUGGUUCAAUAGUGAAAGACGGUUUUGCUGUCACUUUUAGAUGGAUCCGCGCCGCAUUAGCUAGUUGGUAAGGUAACGGCUUACCAAGGCAACGAUGCGUAGCCGACCUGAGAGGGUGAUCGGCCACACUGGAACUGAGACACGGUCCAGACUCCUACGGGAGGCAGCAGUAGGGAAUCUUCCGCAAUGGGCGAAAGCCUGACGGAGCAACGCCGCGUGAGUGAUGAAGGUCUUCGGAUCGUAAAACUCUGUUAUUAGGGAAGAACAAAUGUGUAAGUAACUAUGCACGUCUUGACGGUACCUAAUCAGAAAGCCACGGCUAACUACGUG